rnacentral:rRNA from 1 species
AGUGAACGCUGGCGGUAGGCCUAACACAUGCAAGUCGAACGGCAGCACAGUAAGAUCGCGCCCUUACGGGUGGCGGGUGGCGGACGGGUGAGGAAUACAUCGGCAUCUUCUUUUUCGUGGGUGAUAACGGAGGGCAGCUUACGCUAAUAGCGCAUAUAUCGUACGGCAUGAAGCAGGGGAGAAACGGAGCUUGCGUGAUUGUUUGAGACGCUGUCGGAUUAGCUAGUUGGCGGGGUAAGGGCCCACCAAGGCAACGAUCCGUAGCUGGUCUGAGAGGAUGAUCGGCCACACUGGAACUGAGACACGGUCCAGACUCCUACGGGAGGCAGCAGUAGGGAAUCUUGCGCAAUGGGCGCAAGCCUGACCCAGCCAUGCCGCGUGGGUGAAGAAGGCCUUCGGGUUGUAAAGCCCUUUUGUUAGGGAAGAACAGCAGCAGAUUAAUCCCCCGAUGUUCUGACGGUACCCAAAGAAUAAGCACCGGCUAACUUCGUG